GACGAACGCUGGCGGCGUGCCUAAUACAUGCAAGUCGAGCGGAGUUUAGAGAAGCUUGCUUCUCUAACUUAGCGGCGGACGGGUGAGUAACACGUGGGCAACCUACCUUGUAGAUUGGGAUAACUCCGGGAAACCGGGGCUAAUACCGAAUAAUCCAUUUUGCUUCAUGGCGAGAUGUUGAAAGACGGUUUCGGCUGUCACUACAAGAUGGGCCCGCGGCGCAUUAGCUAGUUGGUAGGGUAAUGGCCUACCAAGGCGACGAUGCGUAGCCGACCUGAGAGGGUGAUCGGCCACACUGGGACUGAGACACGGCCCAGACUCCUACGGGAGGCAGCAGUAGGGAAUCUUCCACAAUGGACGAAAGUCUGAUGGAGCAACGCCGCGUGAGUGGAGAAGGUUUUCGGAUCGUAAAACUCUGUUGUAAGGGAAGAACACGUACGAGAGUAACUGCUCGUACCUUGACGGUACCUUAUUAGAAAGCCACGGCUAACUACGUG
rnacentral:rRNA from 1 species